rnacentral:rRNA from 1 species
AUUGAACGCUGGCGGCAUGCCUUACACAUGCAAGUCGAACGGUAACAGGUCUUCGGAUGCUGACGAGUGGCGAACGGGUGAGUAAUACAUCGGAACGUGCCUAGUAGUGGGGGAUAACUACUCGAAAGAGUGGCUAAUACCGCAUGAGAUCUACGGAUGAAAGCAGGGGAUCGCAAGACCUUGUGCUACUAGAGCGGCCGAUGGCAGACUAGGUAGUUGGUGGGAUAAAAGCGUACCAAGCCGACGAUCUGUAGCUGGUCUGAGAGGACGAUCAGCCACACUGGGACUGAGACACGGCCCAGACUCCUACGGGAGGCAGCAGUGGGGAAUUUUGGACAAUGGGCGCAAGCCUGAUCCAGCAAUGCCGCGUGCAGGACGAAGGCCUUCGGGUUGUAAACUGCUUUUGUACGGAACGAAAAGCCCCGGGUUAAUACCCUGGGGUCAUGACGGUACCGUAAGAAUAAGCACCGGCUAACUACGUGCCAGCCGCCGCGGUAA